rfam:Plasmodium ovale curtisi genome assembly, contig: contig1223
CAAUCUUAACGAUGGAUGUCUUGGUUCCUACAGCGAUGAAGGCCGCAGCAACAUGCGAUAAGCAAUGAAAAAUGCAAUGAAUGUGAAUCAUCAGAACGCUGAAUAUAAACGAUACCAUUUACAUUAUAAGGUAAAUAACUAAUUGGUACCCCUAUAUUCUUAUAU